GUGGGGAAUAUUGGACAAUGGGGGGAACCCUGAUCCAGCCAUGCCGCGUGUGUGAAGAAGGCCUUUUGGUUGUAAAGCACUUUAAGCGAGGAGGAGGCUACCGAGAUUAAUACUCUUGGAUAGUGGACGUUACUCGCAGAAUAAGCACCGGCUAACUCUGUGCCAGCAGCCGCGGUAAUACAGAGGGUGCGAGCGUUAAUCGGAUUUACUGGGCGUAAAGCGCGCGUAGGUGGUUAAUUAAGUCAAAUGUGAAAUCCCCGAGCUUAACUUGGGAAUUGCAUUCGAUACUGGUUAGCUAGAGUAUGGGAGAGGAUGGUAGAAUUCCAGGUGUAGCGGUGAAAUGCGUAGAGAUCUGGAGGAAUACCGAUGGCGAAGGCAGCCAUCUGGCCUAAUACUGACACUGAGGUACGAAAGCAUGGGGAGCAAACAGGAUUAGAUACCCCAGUAGUCC
rnacentral:rRNA from 1 species